UCAGGCGUUCAUUAAAAAAAAAACUCGCAGCAUGCGUUGAAUUUUUUACGUAUUUCUUAGCUAGUGCCUAUGGUACAAAUUUGGCAUUGUAUUGUUGGUUGCCUAUUAAACCAGAACCUGACAUUUUUUCGUUCCCGCCAGUUUCUACCAAAACGAGCUUGGUUUUUGUGUGAUUUUCGUGGUUGUUGUUUCUGUUUUCCGAACAUAGACCGAAUAUACCGAAUAAACCGAAUAAAAAAACAGUAUUUUUCAAUACUAAAUUUCGUGUUUUCUUGAUUUGUAAUCAUGGUGUAUACCAGUGAACAAAAAGCCUUUUUGUUGGAAAGUUAUUUCCGAAAUGGAGAGAAAGUGAACGGUGUUUGGAAAUAUUCAAUUCAACCGUGCCUGGAGGAAUUUCGAGAAGCUUUUUCUGAGGUUAUCGUCUAUGAAGAAUUUAAAAACUCUUUUCACUGAAAUGUGAGCUUGUCUCGUGGAACUGCGUCCACCUCGCGUACAACAGAACAUUUUCAUGAAGCUGUGGAAGAACCUCUUCAUCCAGAAAAAUAGGUGUUUGGGCGGCUAUCAGCAAAAGAAGAAUUGUCGGUCCAAUUUUGUUUCAAGUUUUCAGGAACACUAACUGCAGUACGUUAUCGCGAAGAAAUUCUUACGCCUUUUAUCGAAGAACUUCACGAUGAAGAAUUACGAGAUGGUUUGUUUCAACAAGAUGGUGCAACAGCGCAGUGCACAGCAGAAACUUCAGACUUUCUGAGAACGUUUUUUGAUGACAGAAUAAUUAGCAGGAAUACAGCAAAUGAUUAUCCCCCAAGAUCAUGUGAUUUAACGCCUUGCGACUUUUAUCUUUGGCCACGCAUUAAAAAUUCAAUUUUUGUUACACCAAUUCCAACUAUUGAUGAAUUAAGACGACGCAUUCAACAGAAAUUAAUGAAAUUAACGAAAAUCCACUUGAACUGACUAAUGGGUUAAACAGUGUUCGAAGGCGUUGUGUUAUGUGUGUUGAGCAACAAGGAAGACAUUUCCAACAGUUUUUAUAGUUAAUAAAUAAAUAUUUUUACGAAAAUG